rnacentral:lncRNA from 1 species
UGUGAGUGCUCUUUUCCAUUCAAUUAUGAGUCACCGAGGACAGGGGUCAUGUCAUUAGCCUGUUUAUGAUGUUUAUUCUGUCUUCACCAUCUGGUGCCACUGCCAGUCACUGUUUGCACUUUUGAACUGAAUAUGAAAGCAGAAGGUGACUUUUAUCAGAGGUCCAUUUUCCCCCCAGGAUCAAUUCACAAUGAUGUUCAUCUGCUGCUGAGUGGCUUUUAGAACUUUUACAGACUCCAGAGUCAUCAAGGCUCACACCCUAAAUGCCUGCUGAGUGGCAGAUCCUGUGGAGAAUAUAGCCCCUGCCUGCAAGGAGGCUAGGUUCUAGUAGUAGAGUUAAGAUGUAUACGUAAGUGGCAAUCAUGGGAACUUGAAUCUGUAGUCUAAUCUUAAACUGAUCGUAAGGAAUGAGAGACUU